AAAAAUAGAAAACGUGUUUACUUGCUCAAUUUCUCUAAUUUUGAAAACAUUUUUCCAAUUUUCUAAAAUUUCUUGUUUUCUGUUUUAAGCUUAAACCUGGAAAACACAAAUUCAGAGUUUUCUAUUUGAAAAACGUCGGGUUGCGAGCACAAUCGUACGAGAAAAAAAAAAUCAAGGAAAAACAUCAUCGAUCUCUUCUUCUUCUCGCUCUGGCUUCAUCAAUAAUCGAUCACUGUUUCUUCUUCUCUCUUGUUGUAGCUUUCAUCGGUAAUAGAUCUAUCACCUUCUUCUUCAAUCAAGGUGAGAUUUCGAUCGGUAAUCAAUCUCUUUUUUUGUUUUCUUCUUAUUCAAUCUUCAAUCAAUCUCUCUUCAAAUUGAAAUAUGAUAAAAUGUUACUAUAGAUUGUUUUGGGCAAAUGCCAAAUUGCAUCUUGAUGUGGGUUGGAAUAAUUAAUUUGAAUAUAUCUCUAGAUACUGUUUUAAUUUAUUUAUUUAUUUAUUUAUUUUUUACCAUUGAGCUGAAGAUGAUAGAUGGGUUUGAUUUAAAUAGUAGGUAGGUGGUUUUGAUUGCUUUUUUUUUUUUUUGUGAUAAUCC
rnacentral:lncRNA from 1 species